UCCCGGCAGUUCAAGUCGCAACCAACAUUAUUGGGUCUAAAACAUCCGUAGCUUGUCGUGUAAGUUCUUUGUGAAAUCCUGUAUCUUAAGUAUGGGGCGAGCAGAGAGUACUACUCGGCUAGAGACCGGUAGGCGUAAGAAGUACAUUCAAGGUAGUGGUAAAAUACGUUAAUCUUGGAUGGACUCACAACUAGCGAAGGCAUCUUACGAGGACGGAUCUGACAGUGAGGGAUGAAGGCCAAGGG
rnacentral:rRNA from 1 species